CAGGUGGUGGGAGGAGUAUCUUGUGUUGUCCACGGAGGUGUCGCGAACGGUCCGUAGGUUCUGACCCCACCACCGCCAGUCCUGGCGCCUGGAGCGAGUCACGGCUGGGACACGCUGCACUGGGAACCCCGGCGGCCUCCAAGGCGGGUGUUGCGUGCCCCUUACAAGAGGCCCAGGGGGCGCGGAGAGCCGGCAGGAGGUCAGCUCCGACCCCAGGCCCAGCCCCGGGUUCCGUGCCCGCCCCCGCCACCGGGACCCUGAUCUGCACUGCCUGAUGUGUCCCCACCGUGUCCGGGCAGUGAGGCUGUCCCCUGGUGCCUGGCGGGUGCCCCGUGUUGAGAAGCUGUGGAACAAACGCACAACAGGAGCAAAGAAAAGGGGAGAUGCGUCUUUGUAAGUUGGCAUGGCCCUUUACCUGUGGAGGACCAGGGGAAGACUGCUUGUGAGCCCGCCAGCCAGGAGAAGAGGAGUGAGCUCAGUGCAGAGCAGCCCUUGAGAGGUGUCUCCAUCCUGUCAGGAAGUGGCUGGACCACGGUGUGCCCAAGAUGAAUGCACCAUACAGAAGCAUCAUGGGAGUUGUCGUGGCAGGAACAUUCUAGACCCCCAGUGUCCUUGAGGGGUGCUAUCUUGGAUCUGGAGAUGGUUGGAGGAAACCCCAAGGGGACAGAGGCACUGAUUCUCGCGAUAGUGACCUGGGUCACAGCUGCCCUGGAGGGGCCUCCUCGUGGUGAGCUAAUGCCCAGGGGCCAGGUGGGCCUGUGUUUCUGAGGUGGACAUUCCGAGCUGCUGGCCUCAUUUGACUUUCUCCUUUAGAUUAUUUUGGGGUUGAUCACGGACACAGGCGUAGCGGAGUGAAGAGUGAUGUUGCCACGUGAUCUCUCGCCAGACUUUCUUACCUGUAUUAGCUCAACACGGCAUGGAAGGACUUUUUCCUCUGAGUGAGCAGGACAUCAGGAAAGCCCUGGAGGGUUAUGUGCAGACUUGGAGACCUCCACCUGGCUCUGCCCCUUCCCGGCAGGUGCCACAGAGCGUGUCGACCAGGACUACGGUAUCCUUUUGUCUGGGCUAGGUCGUCCAGUGGCCCCCUGGCCCCCCCACCUACUCCUGGUGAAACCCCUUAGAACCAACAGUUCUGUCGAAGUUGUCUCUGCUGUGCAGCAUUGGCCUCUCACCUGCCUCAAUAAAUCUCGGAAUUGCCCUGUU